CCCUGCAUUCGUAAGUGACCACAGGCUGUCCGUGUCCUGGUCAUUGGUUCUGCAGGCAGAGGAGAUGCAGAAAGGGUUUCCCUGUUUGGAGGGGCCGUAUCCUGGCCUUCCAGCUCUAGGAAUGCCCUCACA
ensembl:snoRNA SNORA71 Small nucleolar RNA SNORA71